AAUCUUAUGAUAAAACGAAUUAAAAUAUGAUGAAAAUAGGCAAUAUAAUCGCAUAUUAAAAUGUCAUAACCCUGAAUAUCUGUCGUGGCAACAAAGUAAAGCGUGAAGCAUGAUUCGAAGCAAACUCAUAAAUUGCAAAUCUUACAAGUCAGAGCGCAAAUGCGAGACGGUCAACGAGCAAAAGAAUGAUAUUUGCUUGGAAGGGAAAGGGGCGGGGGGUCAAAAGUCGCGAGUUGCGUUGCUCACAGAAACUAUCUUGUCCUCGUUGAGGAUAACAAUGAAGCAAAGGAAACACCAAAUUCCUUCAAUUGAAGGUCUUCAAUUUUCUGUAUAUGUAUAAUAGAAGAAAUAUAUCCUGUAAACAAUAUUAAUGACUACUUUAUAAACUGUUAUUUAUCAGUUUAAAAUAAUCAAGAAAUUUCAAUUUCCAAAAAGUAUCUAAAUCUUUUGAUCCGAUCAAAAUAAUUGGGGGAAAAAAAUCUUUUUUAGCCUACCAUUCUCGAACUAGAGAGAGAAUUUCUAUCGGUAAAGUAAAUAAUAGUGACCUAUUAAGAUAUAAAUUUUUUACAAAAAAGAAUAUUGUCAUUAUCUACAAAACGGUUAUCUUUCAUAUUUAUAUUUAGAUAUUGUAAGUAACAUACUUUUAUGCAAGUCUUAAUCAUAUAGAAUAAUCGGAAUAAUUAUUUCUAUCGUUGAGUGACGACAGUCGAGGAAAGGAUUUCAACGUCCUUCGAGCUCUUCUCGAAUCUUUUUCCCACAGAAUACAUUAUAUCUUAGCGGUAUUUACAAGACUAGAACCCGACGACAUCAACACAAAGAAGGAGAGAAACUAUGGAGUGAAGAGAAAAAGCUUUCAGAAUGGUGAACCGGAAUGGGACGGACGCAAAUAAUAGACUACACGCGUAAUAUCUAAAGUCCAGAAAAUCGAAAAAAAUAAAAAAAAGAAGCGGUUCUUGGUGUAUGCAGAAUCGAAUAAAUAUUAAAAUGAGUUAACGCAAUCAAAAUCAUAUUAUGAUUUUACAUGACGUAGAAAGAAAUGACACGUAAAAUUAAUAAUAGUGAAAUAAAGAUACAUGUUUUAUUUAAAAGAAACCAUUUGAAACGUUGAAUAAGGAAAUACACAGCAAAGGUUAAGCCUAUAAAUCAACGUCGCUCAUUAUAGUUCGACUUGACGAUCGACUUUAAACGCCGGAAACGAAUUACAAUAGAUAGAUAUAUCAAUUGUUAGAUUUGCAUGAAGACUUAACAAAACGAAAGGGCCAUUGUCCACGAUUGGUUUUGAUUGGAGAUAGUCAGGUAUGUAACUUGAGGGAAAAAGGAAACGAUCGUCCAGCUGGAACUCGGAUGCACUCGUGCAAGACGAUUCACAACAAAGAAUAAAGAAAACUAGACGCACCUGUUGCAGCGCUAGAUUCUCCCUUAUUUCUCAAAUUCAUUGGAAGUACAGUUUCGCUAUCAUAAUAUAAGAGAAUUAAUAAGAAACGGAAUCCAUGGCGCCAGAUAAUCUCGAUGGCAAAGCUGGAGGUAAUGGACGACCUUUCGAGGGCGCGACGCUCCGCCCCCACCGGAUAAUUCGAGAAACAAUGGCAGCCGGAGACAUGCAGAGGCACGGCGACACGGUUUCAGUGCAAACACGAAGAUUGACAGCGAAUACUAGAUUCGAAUGUCGCUGCACGUUGCCAUGACGAAAACGGAACAUUGCAGGUUAAAGAGGCGAAGGGAAAGGCAGGUCAAAGCAGCGACGCACUGGCCAGGUGCGCAGACAUUCCACUCGCCUUGCGGUACGCUCACCCCUCUUUCCCCGGCCGCGAUUAUUUUCUACCUGGAGCGCCACGUUUAUUUCUUCAUGGCGGAUCGAACGAUAUAUUCGAUACAUCGAACCGAUCCGAAACGAUAGUAUUGUGUGUAUGAAUGAAUUCUCCACGAAGAAGAUUCGAAGAGGUAGUAGGAUGGUGAUCGAAAGAAACAAAAAUGGCGGCACUUCUGAGUUAUAAGGAGCCUCUAUAAAUGAUCACAGUUUACAUUGAAUUGAAGGAGAAUGAAGGAAACCUAACAAGCAACAGGUUGGCACGAUCUCCGUAUGGGGUGGGGAAAUGAGAGAAUAAGAAGAGCUAUGUAAGUACUUAUAGACAGAGAAGCAGAAAACGGGAAAGCAAUCAUCGUUGGAUUUGGUAGGAAUAUCCGUAGAAACGAAAUGCUUAGCACUACGUAAGAACAACGAUAUCGUGACAAGGAGACCGGAUUGGUCGGUCACCUGUUGCCCGCUAGCUGUGAUUGGUCGGACUCGACAGCGCGUAACGACAGCCAGAGGAAGACAAGUGCAUUGUCGGUUGGUUUAUGAUGGACCAAGAUCAAAAAUAAAUACUACAAGAAUGUUAAUUUCGUAUUUUUGUUAUAUAUAUUUAUAUACAUAUAUAUUAUUUGUUUUUCUUUGCGAACAAAUUAACCAUAUUGAGAUUACAAAAUAGAUAUAUGUUUAUUCGCAUAAAUUUUUGUUAUAGAAUCCUUGUGUUAUAGAAUAGUAAGCAAAUUCCGAUUAUUAUUUUAAUGAAUUAUUUACAAUGAAUUAAAGCUGUUUUUUAUAACAUAAA
rnacentral:lncRNA from 11 species